rnacentral:rRNA from 1 species
UACGUAGGGGCCUAGCGUUGUCCGGAUUUAUUGGGCGUAAAGGGCUCGUAGGCGGUUUGUCGCGUCGGGAGUGAAAACCAUGGGCUUAACUCAUGGCUUGCUUUCGAUACGGGCAGACUAGAGGUAUGCAGGGGAGAACGGAAUUCCUGGUGUAGCGGUGAAAUGCGCAGAUAUCAGGAGGAACACCGGUGGCGAAGGCGGUUCUCUGGGCAUGAUCUGACGCUGAGGAGCGAAAGUGUGGGGAGCGAACAGG